AAUACGUUCCCGGGCCUUGUACACACCGCCCGUCACACCACGAAAGUCGGCAACACCCGAAGCCGGUGGCCUAACCGUAAGGAAGGAGCCGUCGAAGGUGGGUCGGUGACUGGGUG
rnacentral:rRNA from 1 species